GGGGCGCCGGAGGGCCAGGGCAGGGCAGGACAUCACAUCAGAGGGCAGGCCAGGACAUCGUGUGUGUUGAGAUUAAACAGGUUCUUUAUAUAGGCCUGCUAGGGCCCAAGCAAGCUGCUUUAUCUGUCUGUCAUUAAACCGCUCUAAAUGUGUCCAGGCACAGCACUGCCUGCCUGGUUACAUGGCUGCUAUUUCAAAUCAACUCCCAUUGUAUUUUUCACCUGUAAACAACAGGUGUAAACAACAGGUGUAAACAACAGGUGGAAACAACAGGUGUAAACAACAGGUGGAAACAACAGGUGGAGACUAAGUGAAAUGCUUACAGGUCCAUUUCCAACAAGAGAAAAUGGAAAUAGUGACACAAUGAAUAACGAAUAAAGAGUUAAAAU
rnacentral:lncRNA from 1 species